rnacentral:rRNA from 1 species
GACGAACGCUGGCGGCGCGCUUAACACAUGCAAGUCGAACGGAAAGGCCUGCUUUCCCUUGUGGAUUGCGGGUACUCGAGUGGCGAACGGGUGAGUAACACGUGAGUGAUCUGCCCCCAACUUGGGUAUAAGCCUGGGAAACUGGGUCUAAUUCUCGAUAGGACUGCAGGGUGGUGCCUGUGGUGGAAAACGAUUUUCUAGUGGUUGGGGAUGAGCUCGCGGCCUAUCAGCUUGUUGGUGGGGUAAUGGCCUACCAAGGCGGCGACGGGUAGCCGGCCUGGGAGGGUGGACGGCCACAUUGGGACUGAGAUACGGCCCAGACUCCUACGGGAGGCAGCAGUGGGGAAUAUUACACAAUGGGCGGAAGCCUGAUGCAGCGACGCCGCGUGGGGGAUGACGGCCUUCGGGUUGUAAACUCCUUUCGACCGCGAGGAAGCCACCUGGUUGGAAGGGUGGUGACGGUAGUGGUAGAAGAAGCACCGGCUAACUACGUG